AUAAGUCAUACACAAAUAGUUCAACAUAAGUUUGAUCUUGUCACAGACAAGGCCACACAAAUAUACAAAAGCAAUAAAAUAGAAAUACCUCAGCAACAUGUCACAUAUUGAUUGAGUUCAUUACACUAUAUUACAUAACAAAACAAGCCAUACUAGGCACCAUCAAAUUAAAUUCACUUCCAAAAAGAGCUUCAUAGCACCAUGUCACAUACUGCUUCAGUUCAUUACAACACUUCACAUAACAAAUAAGACAUCCUAGACACCGUCAUAUUCAAGUCACUUCCAAAAAAGCUUCAUAGCACCAUACAAGGCCACAUUCAUCACAAAAUAUCUCCAGAAUUGGCCUGCACUUUCAGUUCAGUAGCUUAGUUGGUGAAGCAUUUUCCUUCUUCUUGCUAGCUAGUUUCUUCCUGGGUGUAAGCUUCUUAUGUGGUUGCACUGCUACUGCUUCAUGAACUGGUGUUACAAGUGCUUUGAAUAGAAUCUAGUGCCAACCUUCUGUUAUGUGUGAUGGGUGUAAGUAAUAGUACAAAGGCUAGGUUCAGUUUGAAAAAGAACAUAUGAAAGAAUAUAAUUGUUCAAUCCACCGGUCAUGCUCUUGCAUCUAUCAAUCCACCAGUCAUGCUCUUGCUUUGCCAUAUUAAUCAAUACAUACUCUAGAUUUGCUACAUACCGAGCACACUUAACAACAACUCUAAAUGUAUUGCUAGGAUCGAUCCUGACAAAAAGAACCCCAAAAGUUUGGAGUUAGAAGAUAUCUAACUCCACAUACAUGCAACACAGGGGCCAGAAAAAUUUUAACUUACCAAGCAGGGCAAUCCGACGGAUUCGUCACUAGAAAAUCUCUGUAAAUAACUUACCAAACAGGAACAACAACCAGUUUCCAAAGCUACAAAGAGAAAAAAAAAAGUAAGCUACUAAAAAUAAAAAUGAAAAUGGGAGAAGAAGAAGAAAAAGAGAUAAAGGAGAUGGACUGCUUACAGUGAGGGAGGGCGGCCGGCCCAUUCAGUGGACGUAGAGGCCGGCCAGGUCAC
rnacentral:lncRNA from 1 species